rnacentral:rRNA from 1 species
AUUGAACGCUGGCGGCAUGCUUUACACAUGCAAGUCGAACGGUAACAGGCCUUCGGGUGCUGACGAGUGGCGAACGGGUGAGUAAUGCAUCGGAACGUACCCAGAGGUGGGGGAUAACGCAGCGAAAGCUGUGCUAAUACCGCAUGUGAUCUGAGGAUGAAAGCGGGGGACCGAGCAGCAAUGUUUGGCCUCGCGCCUUUGGAGCGGCCGAUGUCGGAUUAGCUAGGUGGUGGGGUAAAGGCCUACCAAGGCGACGAUCCGUAGCUGGUCUGAGAGGACGACCAGCCACACUGGGACUGAGACACGGCCCAGACUCCUACGGGAGGCAGCAGUGGGGAAUUUUGGACAAUGGGCGCAAGCCUGAUCCAGCAAUGCCGCGUGCGGGAAGAAGGCCUUCGGGUUUUAAACCGCUUUUGGCAGGAACGAAACGGUGUCCGCUAAUACCGGGCGCUAAUGACGGUACCUGCAGAAUAAGCACCGGCUAACUACGUG